rnacentral:rRNA from 1 species
AGUGAACGCUGGCGGUAGGCCUAACACAUGCAAGUCGAACGGCAGCACAGUAAGAGCUUGCUCUUACGGGUGGCGAGUGGCGGACGGGUGAGGUAUACAUCGGAAUCUACUUUUUCGUGGGGGAUAACGUAGGGAAACUUACGCUAAUACCGCAUACGACCUACGGGUGAAAGCAGGGGAUCUUCGGACCUUGCGCGAUUGAAUGAGCCGAUGUCGUAUUAGCUAGUUGGCGGGGUAAAGGCCCACCAAGGCGACGAUCCGUAGCUGGUCUGAGAGGAUGAUCAGCCACACUGGAACUGAGACACGGUCCAGACUCCUACGGGAGGCAGCAGUGGGGAAUAUUGGACAAUGGGCGCAAGCCUGAUCCAGCCAUACCGCGUGGGUGAAGAAGGCCUUCGGGUUGUAAAGCCCUUUUGUUGGGAAAGAAAAGCAGCAGGUUAAUACCCCGCUGUUCUGACGGUACCCAAAGAAUAAGCACCGGCUAACUUCGUG